AUGACCUUCAUCAUCAUCUUCAUCUGGACUCUCACAGCGUUUGCUCAAGAGUGUAGAGGACAGAUCACCGUCACUCAGAGUCCCUCAAUGACAGCAGCUCAACCAGGACAAACUGUGAACAUCAACUGUAAAACCAGCACAGAUGUGUACAUGAGUGGUUGGGAUCAUUGUUUAGCCUGGUACUUACAGAAACCUGGAGAAGCUCCUAAACUCCUGAUUUAUUAUGCAAGCACCCUCGAGUCAGGAACUCCAUCUAGAUUCAGUGGCAGUGGAUCUAACAGUGAUUUCACUCUGACCAUCAGUGGAGUCCAGACUGAAGAUGCUGGACAUUAUUACUGUCAGAGUUUACACGAAAUAAACGAUGACUAUGUGUUCACACAGUGA